GCCUGGGGAGGGACCUCGGUGGGGCGUGAUGCCGAACGGUCCACCUCCCCAAACAGCCAUUUUCUCCGGGGGAACUGCUCCCUGUCGCCUGGAGAUCGGUUGCGGUUCUUGGGAGAUCUCCACCCACCGCCUGGAGGCUGGCAACACUCAUUCUAGUCCAGACUGAACGGCGAGGCGAAUGGAAUCCAGGUGAAUUAGGCGAAGUCAAAAUGAAAUUAAAUCCAACCCUUCAGUGGUCAGGAAACAUAUAUACAAGAACCGAAUGACCAGAUCUCAAACCUCUACGAGAACCACUGGAAAAGAAAGAGGUGCGUGCUUCCCCAUAGCCCUCCACGCGUGUAAAUCGUGAUUAGAGCUUUUGAAGGAAGUGCUGUUGGGAGACCACAGUAACAUUCAGUGAUUGAUGUUUUGAAGAGCAUUUCCAGGCUUGGACUUUCACAUGCUUGUACACUGGAGAUGUUCCUGUUAAUGCUUGAGGUUGACAUCAAAGCGCAUCUUAUUAAUUGCUUGAUUUCAGUAACAAAACGAUUCCCAUUUCUCUUUUGCAACACGGGAAAUUCUGGACUGGAAGGGUGGGGAAAGUGGGCUGAAUUCCGUUCCUCUAAGAGGUUACUUUCCCCAGAGUUAACCAAGGAGUGUGCUAUUUCUGCUGUUUCUGGCUUUACGGGGUUGUUUUAUUUACUUCAUUUAUACCCCACUCCCCCCCCCAAUCAUUUGUGUCCCCAAUCAGGACCCAAAUGUUCUCCUCUCCUAACAACUACCCUGUGAGGUAGUUUUAGGCUGAGUGUGUGUGAUUGGCCGAAGAUCAUCCAGCCAGCUUUCAUAGCUAAAUGGGGAUUCAAAACUGGGUGUCCCAGCUGCCACGCUAGCCACCACACCACAGUUGCUCUCACCACCACUGGUAUCUCACAGUUCGUUGCACCUCUCAGGAAAAGGGAGCAGCCAUCUGCAGGCCUGAGCUAGCCAAUGGGCUGCUAUAGAGAGAGGCAGCCAAUCAAAUAUGUGGGCCCCGGGUCAUAAAGGCCUUUAAAGGUUAAAACCAGCUCCUUGUAUUGUGCCCAGAAAUAAAGUGGCAGCCAGUGCCAAUGUAAAACUUGGGUAAUGUGGACCCGGCACCAGCUGGAAGGCAGGCUGUUGCAUCCUGUGCUAGUGGCAGUUUCUGAGUUACCUCCAAGGAUAGCCACAGUUUCUAAUACAACAGCAAGUCAGUCACUAUGCAGCGGCCGGCAAUGGCAAGCCCCCUUUGUCAGUCUCUUGCCUUGAAAACCUCAACAACGUUGCCAUGACUUGGCUAGAACUUGACAGCACUCUCCCCCACCAUCUGCCAGAUUCUAGUCUGAAACUCUAACCACUACCACACUGGAUUCCAUGGGGAAGCUUCCAUUUAAUAGGAACAAGCACCUGGGCUGGGAUAAGUUGCAGAAGUUGUGUGGUAGGAAAUUGUUCAGUAGUUGCUGCCAGGCUUGGCCCUGAAAGGUCCUCCCACAAAGGCCAAAAAGCCCUGGAGGGGGUCUUCCCCCUCCUGCCUUCAACUGACAGAAACCAAGGCUUACAGGCUGGCAGUACUGAUGUAGCUGCCUAGCAACAGCCACUGAGGGCAUUCAUUUCAUAAAGCUACAGGUGCUGCUUCUGUUGUUUUGUGAGGUUUUAACCCCUCAAUAUAUUUAAUUUUCAGAUUUUUCUGUAAACCUGAAACAUUAGACAUGUUGAUUCAUCACCUAAAGUUGGUCAGAGUAGCAUAAGCACCAGGAGAGAAGUUUUCAAUCCUUUUCCCUACACUACUUUCAUCCUGUAAAGUGCCCCACUUCAAAGCUUUUAUGCCCCCGGGAGGUAGAAUUACAGGUACAUGUAAUUGGAUCUCUUGUGCAAUGUGUAGUUAAUGAUAUAAAUCUUUUAGAUGGACAUUUUCGCUAGUUCUAGCAGUCAUUGAGAAGCAAUCUGGUGUCCCUUUGUGGGAUGGAGGUUGACUUUUUAGAGCAUGCUGAUUUGGGGAAAGGGUCCAUCUAAAAACAACCCUGGAUAAUGAGUGUAUGGGUGUGAUGGUUGUAGCAGUGGGGCUGAUUCCUUAAAGGUACAAAAGGGCUGGAUGUGUACUAUCCAGGACAGGUGGCUAUCCGUGGAUAAUAAGGUGCUGCACGCGGCAUUAGUCCUGAUCAGAAAUGCCAUCAGCUCCGGUCACGUGCCUCCUGGCAUAGAGCAGAGGCGGUUUCUCUGAUCCUGAAAUACUGUUUUGGAUGGGCUUGUCAUUUUAGCCUGUUAAAUGUUAGUGACUGAGAAGGAGACAUUUCACCGGGAGGCCCUCCUUUGCCUGCAGCAUUUGUAGGAUUUCCAUCAGGCCCAGAAGUUUUUCCAUCAGUGUCAUCUCUCCUCACUUCGUAAGCGUGAAGCCGGUGUCACAGUGCUUGUGCAGAAACUGCAUUACCCAAAGGCUGGUAACCUUAUCAUUUGUAAUUCUGGUUGCUUUCCAACAGCCAGUGGCAACAUCCUCAACGUAUUUGCAGGCGGCGUUCAGUCCAGGGGGACCCAUGUAACAAUCUCAACAGAGACAUGAAAAACAGGUGCAUAGUUUUCCAUGUGUUUCUAAUUGCAUUCCUUUCCCAGACCAAUAACAUAACCUUUUGCUCCAAUAAAUUUUAAUUAAAGGCUGGGGAGUUCUGUUGAUGCAUCCUUGUGUAUGGGAUAUCUUUUUUAUUGACUCAUGCCAAGCAUGAGUAUGUCGUGGUACCAAGAUAAUGCAAUGUCCCAGUCCCAAUGCCUGCAGCACCCCAUUACCUGUCAAGGCCAUAACAGGGGGAAGGGGGUAAGCCAAGAACAUGGGGGACAGGGAACAUGAGCUGAGGACCAGGCGGUGUCCUGUAGUGAAGUGCCGGAGGGGGAAAGAACAGCUUAAGAAGUAUGGGUCUAGCAAAGCUUGAGAAAGGAGCAGACCGAAGAAACUAUGAGUGUAGCAGAACAAAAGUCCAAGGGGUUUAUUGUGAAAGAAAAUAGCCUGGAGGAAUCAGGGCAGAAGAGAGCAGCUGUCAGGAGGAUCUGGAGGGUAGAAGGAAAACUGGGAAAGAAUGGUUAGGGGCUUCAAGGACAUUGGUGGAAGGCUGCAGAGGUAAAGACCCACAUGUUGAUUUGAAGUAAUGCAUCGAUGAUGGUAAAAAAAACUAUAGAUUAGGGGCUAAACUUCUAAUCCCCAGCCCCCCGCACAUGGCCUCUCCGUAGAAAAAGAACAUUCACUCAGCAGGUGAUGGAAUGGAAUAAACAGUCAGAUUGCCCAGUUUUGCCAAAGCAAUGGGAUCAAGCCUUAAAUGUAAUACCUGUUACUUCUAUUAGUCUUAAGAUGCAACUUAUUCAGCGAAAAAUUAUGUUUAGGGUGUUUUGGACAGCACAGCGCCUUUUUAGUAAAGGACUAAAUAUAACGAUUAAUAGCUGACACUAGUAUAAAGGGCAUGUAUCUUAAGCAUAUGCUGUGGCUAUGUUCAGUUAUUCAGUCCUUUGGGGAGGAAGUUAUUACUCAUAUUACUUUUGUAUUAGAAUACCUGUUGAUUCUGGAGAAUGUUUAUGUACUGUUAAAGUUCCGACCUCUUUGCUGGACUCUAAUUGAUGGUCAACAAAAAUGGAUCCUCCGUGCCCUUGCUGUAGAGAAAAUACUUUGGAGAGAU